rnacentral:lncRNA from 1 species
GAAACUGUUUUUCACUGCAUUAUGCGUGUUUCUACUAGUACACUGCAUGCGUCCUAGAGGGUGUUUACCAGUUACUAAGAAACUGCUCCAAUAAUAAUAAUAAUGAAUGUAGAUAAAAAUGUUAUCCCCCCUCCCCCGGCGGGCAAAUUUCAAACUAAUCGCCCUUAAUCUGAACUAGCCCCUUGCUAAAUUCGUCCGUAGGUGUAGCAUACCCCUUUCUUGUUGCUAAAAGCUCUUGUAUGGCCGACAUCUUGUAUCUUCCAGAGAUGUCCAAAUCUACUUGGAGUGACCAACCUCAUGCAACUUCAAUCCAAAAAUAAUAGACCAACCACUUAGAGCUUCCAAACAAAUUUCCUUCGAAGAUAUGCCUAAAUCUACUUGGAGUGACCAAUCUCUUGUAGCUCCAAUAUUAAUAGACCAACCUCUUGUAGCUUCAAAUCAUAGUUUGCAUCUUCGAGAUAUGCCCAAAUAUACUUGGAGUGAUCAAUCUCUUAUAGCUCCAAUAUUAAUAGACCAACCUCUUCUAGCUUCAAGGCAUAGUUUGCAUCUUCGAGAUAUGCCCAAAUAUACUUGGAGUGAUCAAUCUCUUGUAGCUCCAAUAUUUAUUGACCAACCUCUUCUAGCUUCAAGGCAUAGUUUGCAUCUUCGAGAUAUGCCCAAAUAUACUUGGAGUGAUCAAUCUCUUGUAGCUCCAAUAUUAAUUGACCAACCUCUUGUAGCUUCAAGACAUAUUUUGCAUCUUUGAGAUAUGCCCAAAUAUACUUGGAGUGAUCAAUCUCUUCUAGCUUCAAAAUUAAUAGACCAACAUCUUGUAAAAUAGAUUUUGCGUCUCUGAGAUAUGCCCAAAUCUUCAUGGAGUGAUCAACCUCUCCUAGUAUAGCAAUUAAUAGACCAUACUUUUGUAGCUUCCAAAUAGAUAUUACAUCUCUCAGAUAGGCUAAAUCUACUUGGGGGAGAUAAACCUCUUGUAGCUUCAAAAUUUGAUAGACCUGACGUCAUGUAUCUUUCGAAAAGAUUUUCCAUCUCUGAGAUAUGCCCAAAUCUACUUGGAGUGAUGAACCUCUUGUAGCUUCAAAAAUAAUAAACCAACCUUUGGUAGCUUCAAAACAGGUUUUGCAUCUAUGGGAUAUGCACA